UGAAGCACUACGAUCAUUAUGAUUAAAACUUAAAGAGCAUGGCGGUCAUAAGAAAAUUCAGGGGAACUUACCAAGUAAUUGAUAACCCUCAAGGUCACCCUUCUUAAUUUCAAAGUCUGUAUACCGCCGUCUAGGUGCCUUCGUGAGAAAGCGCCGAAUAAAAUCCUUUUUAAUAAGACAGGCCAUGGUGCAGCUAAUAAUUAAGUUUUAGGCGAGUUACAAUAAUAACUCAUUUUUAAAGAUAAACUUUAAAAGCUGUCUUUAAGUGGACUUGAAAGUAAUGUUUAAUAAAAAAUAUAAUUUGAAUAAUUUCCUAACGCUUAUGGUGC
rnacentral:rRNA from 1 species